rnacentral:lncRNA from 1 species
GAAGAGCAAGGGCAUCGGAGGGGGAAGGAACCUGCUCGUUCAGGGCGACAGUAUCUGGGCCGAGCUAGGGAAAGAAGAAGGUCCCGAAGCCCUACUCCUCAGAGAUCAAAGAGGACUUAUCACCCUGCCGAUUCCAGGGGACAGGGGCGAAGCGAAAGAAGAGGUCGAUCCAGGGAUCGCACUCCAGAACAUGCAAAGAAAGUCCUUGUCGUUGCACAUUCUCGCCAUAGUGCCCGGGUUCAGAGGCGAAGUAUAUCCAGA